ensembl:lncRNA
CAAUCAUCAAAGACUCAUUUGUCUAACUUUUGUACAUUUGUCUGGCCUUACAAAAACUGCUUUUACGGAGGGUGCUGAUUAAGCUCCAACAAUCAUGGACCAAUGUUGGCAUAAAGCCAACCUCAGAUUCACCAUUAACAGCAACACAGGUUUAUCAAACGUUAAGUCUUUAUUGAAUUUUUACAUUGGUUCAGUGACAAACAGGAUACACAUAUUUACAAAAGUGAAACCAACCAACAGCCAUGUUCCACGAUCGACCCAGGACAGCAGGUCCACGAUCGACCCAGGACAGCAGGUCCACGAUCGACCCAGGACAGCAGGUCCACGUCACUGCCUGAAAUCUGAAGGAACAAAUCACACGUUUGAACCUCGAACUUGAAGUCAACUAAUAAGUACCCGAUACUUAGAAUAGCCAUGAUAGAGGGGGGGACACUGAGCCAUGUCAAUGUUAGAGGGGGGGUGUAUAGAUAGAUCAUGUAGUUGGCCAAAUUACAGACACGGCAAUUAAAAACAUCUGCACGUUAGUCAGGGGCCUCUCGUGGUCGGAGCCCGGCAGGGGACAAACUAAUCGACCACAUCUCCCCAGGAAGGCCCGCGGCCGUUUGGAUCUCCAUGGGAACACGGCGCGGUGUCGUUACCUCUCCAGCUCCGUGGUGGUGGCCUACGCCUUCAGCUCCUCCGGCUUCAGCCUCUUGGUCGAGCCCUCCUUCGCCGGACUCUGCUCUGGUUUCCUCUGCAACGGUCAGAUGGUUGGUCACGAUGUCUGACCCAGAACAACGUGUUGGGACAGCUCCCUGAUUAGUGACGGUGAGCCACCAUGAUGCCCACCUCCUUCCUCACCUUCCGGACCAGGUGGGAGAUGUCAGAGACCGGGGCCUUGGCGCCGUGGCCGUUGGUAGAGCUGACCCCAUUGGUUGGCUUGGCCGUUAUCUGGACGACAAAGAAGAAGUUGGUGAGUGAUCAACGUUGGGCAUUACAGCUCACCGAGCGCUACAAAGAGGACACCGGUACUUGAAGAGUUCUGGAGGCCUCGUGUGUCUCAGUACCCGGCUCACCGUAGCAGUGCUGGACGACGCGUCACCGGUCUGCACCCUGGGAGCAGAGAAGGCUGAGGAGGUGGAGACACCGUUCUGGAAAGAUUAGAUAACAAAUAAAAAAACUAUUAAAAUACAAAGCAAGCAGUCAGAACGUGCCCUAAACCUGAGGGACGGCCAUUUAGAGAGCCACCAGACGACGUUAUCCACCCCCCACAAGGACGCCUACAGGUGACGCGGCAGAACGGGAGAAUCGAACGCAGGACCUUCCCUCUUUGAGUCAAACAUCUUAACCGCUUUCCCCCUCAGGACCCCCACCCCGG